UACGUAGGUGACCAGCGUUGUCCGGAUUUACUGGGCGUAAAGAGCGCGCAGGCGGUCGUUCAAGUCGAGUGUGAAAGCCCCCGGCUCAACUGGGGAGGGUCAUUCGAUACUGAUCGACUCGAAGGCAGGAGAGGGAAGCGGAAUUCCAGGUGUAGCGGUGAAAUGCGUAGAGAUCUGGAGGAAUACCGAUGGCGAAGGCAGCCUUCUGGCCUAAUACUGACGCUGAGGUGCGAAAGCAUGGGGAGCAAACAGG
rnacentral:rRNA from 1 species